CACGUAGGCACCAAGCGUUGUCCGGAUUUAUUGGGCGUAAAGGGCGCGUAGGCGGACAGUUUAGUCAGAGGUGAAAGCCCAGGGCUCAACCCUGGAAUUGCCUUUGAUACUGGCUGUCUUGAGUACGGGAGAGGUGUGUGGAACUCCGAGUGUAGAGGUGAAAUUCGUAGAUAUUCGGAAGAACACCAGUGGCGAAGGCGACACACUGGCCCGUUACUGACGCUGAGGCGCGAAAGCGUGGGGAGCAAACAGG
rnacentral:rRNA from 1 species